rnacentral:rRNA from 1 species
AGUGAACGCUGGCGGCAGGCCUAACACAUGCAAGUCGAACGGCAGCACAGUGGAGCUUGCUCCAUGGGUGGCGAGUGGCGGACGGGUGAGGAAUACAUCGGAAUCUGCCCAGUCGUGGGGGAUAACAUAGGGAAACUUAUGCUAAUACCGCAUACGACCUACGGGUGAAAGCGGGGGAUCGCAAGACCUCGCGCGAUUGGAUGAGCCGAUGUCCGAUUAGCUAGUUGGCGGGGUAAUGGCCCACCAAGGCGACGAUCGGUAGCUGGUCUGAGAGGAUGAUCAGCCACACUGGAGCUGAGACACGGUCCAGACUCCUACGGGAGGCAGCAGUGGGGAAUAUUGGACAAUGGGCGCAAGCCUGAUCCAGCCAUGCCGCGUGGGUGAAGAAGGCCUUCGGGUUGUAAAGCCCUUUUGUCCGGAAAGAAACGCCUCGGAUUAAUACUCUGGGGUAAUGACGGUACCGGAAGAAUAAGCACCGGCUAACUUCGUGCCAGCAGCCGCCGUAACAC